UAGGGAAUCUUCCACANCNNUNUNCGCAAGCCUGAUGGAGCAACACCGCGUGAGUGAAGAAGGGUUUCGGCUCGUAAAGCUCUGUUGUUAAAGAAGAACACGUAUGAGAGUAACUGUUCAUACGUUGACGGUAUUUAACCAGAAAGUCACGGCUAACUACGCGCCAGCAGCCGCGGUAAUACGUAGGUGGCAAGCGUUAUCCGGAUUUAUUGGGCGUAAAGAGAGUGCAGGCGGUUUUCUAAGUCUGAUGUGAAAGCCUUCGGCUUAACCGGAGAAGUGCAUCGGAAACUGGAUAACUUGAGUGCAGAAGAGGGUAGUGGAACUCCAUGUGUAGCGGUGGAAUGCGUAGAUAUAUGGAAGAACACCAGUGGCGAAGGCGGCUACCUGGUCUGCAACUGACGCUGAGACUCGAAAGCAUGGGUAGCGAACAGGAUUAGAUACCCUGGUAGUCCAUGCCGUAAACGAUGAGUGCUAGGUGUUGGAGGGUUUCCGCCCUUCAGUGCCGGAGCUAACGCAUUAAGCACUCCGCCUGGGGAGUACGACCGCAAGGUUG
rnacentral:rRNA from 1 species